CCUACGGGUGGCAGCAGUGAGGAAUAUUGGUCAAUGGACGAGAGUCUGAACCAGCCAAGUAGCGUGAAGGAUGACUGCCCUAUGGGUUGUAAACUUCUUUUAUAUGGGAAUAAAACGUUCCACGUGUGGGAUUUUGUAUGUACCAUAUGAAUAAGGAUCGGCUAACUACGUGCCAGCAGCCGCGGUAAUACGGAGGAUCCGAGCGUUAUCCGGAUUUAUUGGGGUUAAAGGGAGCGUAGGUGGAUUGUUAAGUCAGUUGUGAAAGUUUGCGGCUCAACCGUAAAAUUGCAGUUGAAACUGGCAGUCUUGAGUACAGUAGAGGUGGACGGAAUUCGUGGUGUAGCGGUGAAAUGCUUAGAUAUCACGAAGAACUCCGAUUGCGAAGGCAGUUCACUGGACUGCAACUGACACUGAGGCUCGAAAGUGUGGGUAUCAAACAGGAUUAGAUACCCCAGUAGUC
rnacentral:rRNA from 1 species